rnacentral:rRNA from 1 species
CCCUGCCUUUUGUACACACCGCCCGUCGCACCUACCGAUUGAACGAUCCGGUGAGACCUUGGGAUUCUGUGUAGGUUGAUUUAUUUUGACUUGCUGCGGAAGAACUUGAGCAAACCUUAUCGUUUAGAGGAAGGUGAAGUCGUAACAAGG